UACAGAGGUCUCAAGCGUUGUUCGGAUUCAUUGGGCGUAAAGGGUGCGUAGGUGGCGCGCUAAGUCAGGUGUGAAAUUUCGGAGCUUAACUCCGAAACUGCAUUUGAUACUGGCGUGCUUGAGGACUGGAGAGGAGACUGGAAUUCACGGUGUAGCAGUGAAAUGCGUAGAGAUCGUGAGGAAGACCAGUGGCGAAGGCGGGUCUCUGGACAGUUCCUGACACUGAGGCGCGAAAGCGUGGGGAGCAAACAGG
rnacentral:rRNA from 1 species